rnacentral:rRNA from 1 species
UACGUAGGUGGCAAGCGUUCCUCGGAAUCACUAGGUGUAAAGCGCAGGUAGGAGGUUGGAUAAGUCUGUUGUGAAAGCUCCCGGCUUAACUGGGAGAGGCCAACGGAAACUAUUCGGCUGGAGUGCGGUAGAGGUAGCUGGAAUUCCCGGUGUAGCGGUGAAAUGCGUAGAUAUCGGGAGGAAUACCUAUGGCGAAAGCAGGCUACUGGACCGUCACUGACUCUGAUCUGCGAAAGCUAGGGGAGCAAACAGG